rnacentral:lncRNA from 1 species
CAAGGGCAAUAACGUUGGGGAGGGAGCUGUGCAAGGUGUUCGAUGACUAACGCUCCAGGUGUUCACCAUGUUCCCUGUGGCGUUAACAGAGAGGCACAAACUCUUUUAGGGUCAGAGGUCUGCCUCACCUGCUGUGGCCUCCAGUAGUCACACAUGAGGAAUAUACCCCUUAAUUAAUGUGAGAGUCCUGAAGUUAGUCAAAGUCAAAACUCUCCCUCACUUCUGAACUUUCAGACCCCCACCGAGCCCUGCUGACCCUUUCACCUCCAGCACACAGAAGGUCUCACCAACACUAAUCCUACAGGGAGAGAAGUUGGUUUGUUGAGCAGACCUGUGGUGUUAGGAUUCCCAAUACCUCUACUGGAAGAAAAAGAAUCGGAGGUAGCAGUGGAAGGGACAGGGCACAAGAAAGAAAAGGAAAGAAACGUGGACGCUUGCACACAACUUCUUACAAUGGCUCCAGCAUGCCCUUCCAUUGGCAGGAAUCCUUUUGAUCAAAUCCUUGCCCUGGGCUGGAAGUGUUUUAAUGAGCAUACAGACACCGUCUUUUUUUUCUAGGUCUAUUUUGUGUUCUUAAGGAUAGAUAAGUAAAGCGUGCACUUAAAUGAUCGUGUGAGCGCUUCUUAACUGUGCUGUAGAGGAAAGGCGUAGCACUUGAAUGUGGAGGCUGAACAGUGCCGGCCUGAAGGACAAGGAAAAUAGCAGAGGAGGAAACUUGAGCUGAACUGAACUUGUUUCCUUUAACAUCUUAUUUUCUUUUGGAGAAGGAAUAAGCAGCAUGCAAACAGGUAGACAUCUGUUGGGUGAGGGAUGUUUUAUGGAGGCUCCCAUGUCUUGCUGCUUUUCCCUGUAGAAUAUUCUGAAUUGGAAGGGACCCACAAGGAUCGUGGACUCAUAGAAUGGUUGAGUUGGAAAGGAC